AUUGAACGCCGGCGGCAUGCCUAACACAUGCAAGUCGAACGGCAGCACGGUCCAGUUUACUGGAUGGGUGGCGAGUGGCGGACGGGUGAGUAACGCGUAGGAAUAUGCCUUGAAGAGGGGGAUAACUUGGGGAAACUCAAGCUAAUACCGCAUAAUCUCUUAGGAGGAAAGCUGGGGACCUUCGGGCCUGGCGCUUUAAGAUUAGCCUGCGUACGAUUAGCUAGUUGGUGGGGUAAGGGCCUACCAAGGCGACGAUCGUUAGCUGGUCUGAGGGGAUGGCCAGCCACACUGGAACUGGGACACGGUCCAGACGCCUACGGGAGGCAGCAGUGGGGAAUAUUGGACAAUGGGGGGAACCCUGAUCCAGCAAUGCCGCGUGUGUGAAGAAGGCCUGAGGGUUGUAAAGCACUUUCAGUGGGGAGGAGGGUUGACAGGUUAAGGGCUAGUUAAUUGGACGUUACCCACAGAAGAAGCACCGGCUAACUCCGUGCCAGCAGCCGCCGUAA
rnacentral:rRNA from 1 species